ACGAGAAAAAAACGCAUAUAAGACAACUUCCAAACAAAAC
rnacentral:misc_RNA from 1 species